UUCUGCCCUGUAACUUUUGCAACCAUCAGUUUUCGUUGAAUACUUUAAGAUGCCGAGGUUACUCUUCAGACAGUCACAGAAGAGGUGGUGGUCCCAUCCACCAAUGGGGUGUCAGAUGAGAAGGAAGUGUUGGAACACAAUGGUACAGAACGAUCCGUGAGUCCACCGGGAAGAGACAAAGGUUCUCCAGAAUUGGCUUUUUGUCAUUUGGAAGAAGAGGAGGAGGAAGAACACAUUGUUGAAGAGAAUGAAGAAGAGGAGAUAAUAGAGAAUGGAAAAGAGGUGACAGAAUUGAGGCCCACUUAUAGGUCCACUACAUCACUAGGUAAAUCUGCAACAGUAGGUACGUAAUCUGAAGGUUCCCUGCAUAUCUCUGGUUCUAUGAUAUUAUGGAAAUGUUUCACUAUGACAUUUUGUUGGCUAACCACUAAAGUAGAAAUUCUACUUCUGUUGAAUUUUACUGAUGUGUUUUGAAAAUGUAGCUUAUUAGUUUGGGAGGUAUUUUUGCUUCACUUGCACCCAGCUCAAUGAACCCCUUCACUACCAACUAGGCUUUCCAUUGGCGUACUGUAUGAAUCCCACCACAUGCUGGGCCUGUGUGAUGGUGACAGAAGGCUGGCUGCAGGUUCUGCUGAAACCAGCUGAGAUUAGGUUUCCACAGUAAAAUGUGAAUGUUAACAGUUUUAAAUGUAUUUAAACAUACCAUGAACUAAUCCUUAUGUUUGAUUUGGGUUCAUGUCCAACCUACUGCUCUCAACAAACUCACCAUUUCUAACCGGGAGCACCCCACAAUCCUUGCCAUUUCAGAGUUGCUCUGACCCAGUCGUCUGGCCAUAA
rnacentral:lncRNA from 1 species